rnacentral:lncRNA from 11 species
GUCGUGAGCCUUGGGAAACUGUUUAUUAUCUCUAUUCAAGAAAUCAUCACCAACUCCUGAUUUGGCUGGAAAACCAUCUGGCUAAGAUCUACGUCCUAAUUGGCUCUGAACUCCGGUGGAUUUCACUUCUGGUUGGUGCUUCAUGUGGUGAUGAGCCAACGCAUUAAAAGGACCAUGGCGACGCAACGGGUUAAACUGCUGAGCAGCUGAAUUUGCUGACCAGAAGGUUGACGGUUCGAAUCCGUGGGACGGGGUGAGCUAAUUUCUACUUUGACCUGCACUAAGACUAUACAAACUUUAUAAGUGUCUUGGGAGGGAGGGG